ACAUGCCUACAACAUAGCGUUACUACAACGAAUCCCAUUAGAACUCCGCAGUUAAGCGCGCUUAGGCUGGAGUAGUAUUAAAAAGUCCUAGUGUUUUACAUGCC
rnacentral:rRNA from 1 species